rnacentral:rRNA from 1 species
UACAGGGGGUGCAAACGUUGCUCGGAAUCAUUGGGCGUAAAGCGCACGUAGGCGGUCUGUUAUGUCGGAUGUGAAAGCCCUUGGCUCAACUGAGGAAGUGCAUCCGAAACUGGCAGGCUAGAGUACUAAAGAGGAUCGCGGAAUUCCGGUGUAGAGGUGAAAUUCGUAGAUAUCGGGAGGAACACCGGUGGCGAAGGCGGCGAUCUGGGUAGAUACUGACGCUGAGGUGCGAAAGCGUGGGGAGCAAACAGG